ACUCCUACGGGAGGCAGCAGUAGGAAGUCUUCCACAAUGGGCGCAAGCCUGAUGGAGCAACACCGCGUGAGUGAAGAAGGGUUUCGGCUCGUAAAGCUCUGUUGUUAAAGAAGAACACGUAUGAGAGUAACUGUUCAUACGUUGACGGUAUUUAACCAGAAAGUCACGGCUAACUACGUGCCAGCAGCCGCGGUAAUACGUAGGUGGCAAGCGUUAUCCGGAUUUAUUGGGCGUAAAGAGAGUGCAGGCGGUUUUCUAAGUCUGAUGUGAAAGCCUUCGGCUUAACCGGAGAAGUGCAUCGGAAACUGGAUAACUUGAGUGCAGAAGAGGGUAGUGGAACUCCAUGUGUAGCGGUGGAAUGCGUAGAUAUAUGGAAGAACACCAGUGGCGAAGGCGGCUACCUGGUCUGCAACUGACGCUGAGACUCGAAAGCAUGGGUAGCGAACAGGAUUAGAUACCCUGGUAGGAUAGCG
rnacentral:rRNA from 1 species